AUUUAUACUUGGUCCUCUUUAAUUAUACAGAGUUGCCCCCAGAGUACUGAAAUGAUAGACUAGAACACGAUGACUUCAGCAGGGGAUCAGAGCUUUAGAGCUUCAUCAUUCAUGUGAGCCAAGUGCGAAAUUUCAGCCUGUCUCUCCUCUAAAUGCAGUUAGGAGUCUUCGAAACCUUUUGUGUGAAUCCAGGAGGGAAAAUUGUCUGGCAAAGUCUGAUAAGCAUCGUGUCAAGAGCACAUUUGUACUCUGGUGAUGGGAGGUGAAGGGAAGAGCAGCAUCAUCUGUGCAGCCUGGUGAAACGGUGUUUACGACAGUCUACACGGCACUACUGGGUAUGCUGUCUCCUUGGAUUGUGUCAUAUUUUUAACCCAGUGGGAAAUUCAUAGGAUCCUCUUGACUCUGUAAAAACUGUGGGACAAUUCAGUCACUUUUACCAAAUCCUCAUUUCCUUUUCAAACCCUGU
rnacentral:lncRNA from 1 species